GCCCACUGGCAUUUAUCCAGAAGAAGGCUAUCGCUCGCCUAGUGAAGAUUCUGGACUGGGAAUGGGCUUUCCAGAUAAGCAAAUCUCCAGAAUGCUUCCUUCGGGUAAUUCGGGCAAAACUGCGGCCGAAGUAAGCGAGGACUACCAGCAGGAGUUCGUUGGCGGUGAAGAAGAGCAAGCGGUGGGCAGUAGAAGACAUUCAAGUCCCGGAGAAUCUCGAUCGGGGUCCACUACUAAGCUCCAUCAAGAGGAUUACACUGAUUCGGUAAGCCAAUUUUAACACUUAUUUGUACCAAAACUUCCAUUGCAUUUAGAAGGAAACUGGCCCCUUUUUUCAUAUAAUCAAUGCUGUGUUUAUUAGUUUAUUAGCCCGUAGAUGCUAGUGUAGCAAAUGUAAUCAAUGUUGAAUGAACGGAACUUCGUUCGAGAAUCUCCAUAAGAUUUGUUGCUUCGCCUGCUGGAUAUAGGAAAAAGUUCAAGAGUUUUAGGGGUUCGGACUUUAAGAAUAAAUUUAUUAAAGCCCAUGUGUCUUCACAAUGCCGCUGAGCUGUAGUCGAGUGAACACAGUGGCCGAAAUAAAAAACAAAACUAGCUAAAAAUAUGUAUAACCAAAAAAAACUUAUCUAUAGCUUAUGCAAUGAGUAGGUAAUAAAAAA